CUACGGUGAAUACGUUCCCGGACCUUGUACACACCGCCCGUCAAGCCGAUGGAAGCUGGGUGUACCUAAAGUCGGUAACCGUAAGGAGCCGCCUAGGGUAAAACUAGUAACUGGGGCU
rnacentral:rRNA from 1 species